GACGAACGCUGGCGGCGUGCUUAACACAUGCAAGUCGAACGGAAAGGCCCUGCUUUUGUGGGGUGCUCGAGUGGCGAACGGGUGAGUAACACGUGAGUAACCUGCCCUUGACUUUGGGAUGACUUCAGGAAACUGGGGCUAAUACCGUAUAGCAGCCCCUCCUGGAUGGUGGGGGUUGGAACGUUUCGGCUGUCGGGGAUGGACUUGCGGCUUAUGAGCUCGUUGGUGGGGUAGUGGCCGAGCAAUGCGAUGACCCGUAGCCGGCCUGAGAGGGGGAUCGGCGAGACUGGGACGGAGACGCGGUCCAGACUCCUACGGGAGGAAGCAGUGGGGAAGAGUGGACGACGGGCGCAAGCCUGAUCCAGCCAUACCGCGUGGGUGAAGAAGGCCUUCGGGUUGUAAAGCCCUUUUGGUGGGAAAGAAAAGCAGCAGGAUAAGACCCCGCUGUGCUGACGGUACCCAAAGAAUAAGCACCGGCUAACUUCGUG
rnacentral:rRNA from 1 species